rnacentral:rRNA from 1 species
GGUUUAGACCAGACUGGCUUAUCAAAGCCUGAUCUCAUCAGAUCUCAGAAGCUAAGCAAGGGUGGGCCUGGUUUGUACUUGGAUGGGAGACAUCCAAUUACUAGGAGACACUUUGGGGCACCAGUGGCAAAAACU